CUCUGAGUUGAGCUGCCUUGUGGAAGUCUCUGGGGAAGACUUUGAUAAGUUGGGCUUGAAUCACCUUCCUGCCAUUGGACUCCACCCUGACAAAGAGCAGGAUUCUGGGGUGAACAGCCCAGCACCUAAACACGUGGUUGGAUUUACAAAGGAACAACUAUUCUCCAGGAAGGGAGAGCUGUUCUCAGCAUGGAGGGACUCUUUGCACUGGAUCUCCUGCUCUAGGGACAGCUGGCUUUCUGUUUGGAGAGAAAAAGAUGAAAAGUGACACCGUAAUUCCAAACCAAGCUUGAUACCACCUGAAUAAAGGAUUCUAGAAGAAUGCAGUAGAUGAACCUGGUGAGACUUCAGUUCGUCCUGGCCUGGCGUGGCUCCGGGGACAGACCGGAAGGAGAAGAAGAGAUUUACCCAUCUUUUUGAGAGACAGAGUGAGUGUGAGCAGGGGCAAAGGGAGAGGAAGAAAGAAUCUGAAGCAGGCUCCUC